rnacentral:rRNA from 1 species
UACGAAGGGGGCUAGCGUUGCUCGGAAUCACCGGGCGUAAAGCGCACGUAGGCGGAUUGCUAAGUCAGGGGUGAAAUCCUGGAGCUCAACUCCAGAACUGCCUUUGAUACUGGCGACCUUGAGUCCGGGAGAGGUGAGUGGAACUGCGAGUGUAGAGGUGAAAUUCGUAGAUAUUCGCAAGAACACCAGUGGCGAAGGCGGCUCACUGGCCCGGUACUGACGCUGAGGUGCGAAAGCGUGGGGAGCAAACAGG